UUUUGGUACGUCAUUGCCCAUGUGGGCGUUGUUAAGUACAUCUUUGUCUUUCUUGCUUGGCAACAGACCUGAGCCACCUCCUUUCCCCACUUCUGGCUCUCUUCUUGCUAGCAAAGACAAUCCCAUUUCUGUUUUCUCUUCAAAAAUGGAAGAUCAAUCUCCAAUGUUGUUUCUCUCAUGUUGCUGGAUCUGUAGACUGAAAAAAUCAAGGACAUGCUGUGCCAAAAGUAAAGGCAAUGAUGUCCCGACUGUGGAUAAAUUAAUUUCCUUGAGGAUGGCUGAGAAGAAGGGUUCAGUUGCUGUUAUAGAAUAUCAUUUGUUGGAAGCUGCAACAAACAAUUUCCAGGAAGUUAAUGUCCUGGGUGAAGGUGGUCGUGGAUGUUUGUAUAAAGCUUGUUUCAGUGAAAAACUCCUUGCAGCAGUGAGGAGAUUUGAAGGUGAAGAACAGGACAUUGAAAGAGAAUUUGAGAACGAGCUGAACUGGUUAACGAAAAUUCAUCAUCAAAACAUAAUUUCUCUUCUGGGUUACUGCAUUCAUGGUGAACAAAGGUUUCUCGUGUAUGAAAUGAUGCAAAAUGGGUCUUUGGAAAGUCAAUUGCAUGGGCCAACACAUGGAUCAGCAUUAACUUGGAAUCUGCGAAUGAAAAUUGCUGUUGAUGUUGCAAGGGGACUAGAGUAUCUUCAUGAGCAUUGCAAUCCUCCUGUUGUCCAUAGAGAUCUGAAGUCAUCUAAUAUUCUUCUGGAUUCCAACUUCAAUGCAAAGCUUUCGGACUUUGGCCUUGCUGUAGCUUCUGGUAUCCAAAACAAGUACAUAAAGCUUUCAGGAACUUUAGGUUAUGUGGCACCAGAGUACCUUUUGGAUGGCAAACUAACUGAUAAAAGUGAUGUCUAUGCUUUUGGAGUUCUCCUUCUGGAACUCCUGAUAGGAAGAAAACCAGUGGAAAAGACGUCUCCGGAUCAUUUUCAGUUCAUAGUCUCAUGGGCCAUGCCUCGGCUCGCUGACAGAUCAAAGCUUCCCAACUUUGUGGAUCCUGUUAUCAAAGACACUAUGAAUUUAAAACACUUAUACCAGGUAGCUGCAGUGGCAGUACUAUGCGUGCAACAAGAACCAAGUUACAGGCCAUUGAUAACAGAUGUCCUGCACUCUCUCAUCCCUCUUGUACCUCUUGAGCUUGGAGGGUCACUGAGAAUUACAGGACCUGUUCCUCUUGCCCUGCCUUCUCUCUGAUGAUGAGUACAUCUCAAACUGACCAUUUCUUUUGUAUAUUUAAAUGUAUGAAAAUCAUUAGAGUUUUUUCUAUUUUUUUCAUUGUUACAUUUGUUAAUUGAAUUUAUUUUUAGAUGAUUUCCCCUUAAACUGCUUCAAUAAUUGGAUCUUCAGCAACACAAUUUUCCGAGGUUUUAGUAAGAUGUCCCGAUAUCAGAUAAAAAGGAGGGUGGUAGUUGCUGAAGGACAUGAAAAUAAUGUACGGUGGUAGAUUCUA